UCUGUAGGAAACAAGAGAGAGAUGAAAAAACCGAUGAGAUUGAAAAAUUCUCACCUUAUUUGAAGAACAGCAUUAUCUUAAGGUUGUUGCAAUCAGGAAGCCUUUAAUACCGAUACUCACUGAGAUACCAAAAGCCAAACAGUUUAUGAUGGCCUCGAGUGCUGAAGCAGUUUGGUCCUCUUCUGAUGAACUGUCUUUGUGUCCAACUUGGACACAGAUGUGAAGACCCAAGUGGUCUGGUUUCGUAUAUUAUUUCCUAGGCUAGAAGCAACCUUCUCCCUUCUCUAUCUAUCCCUUGAAUCUGGGCUAGUAUAGACUCAAACUAUUUCCUAGAAUUGGAGCAGUUUAGAACUAGGAGGUCCUUAGAGAAGUUCUAACAUUUCAUUUUAUGAGUCUGAGAGGUCAGAUUGACCUGUUUAAGUUUUACCAUUAUGUUAAUAUCAUUACCAGGUUACAGAACCUGACUUCCUUGCCAGGAGUCUUUUCUCUGAGCAUAGACCAGAAACCAGGAACUUAGAACUUUUAAUACGGCAUUUUUUUGGUCUACUGGAAUAUAGUACAGCUAUUACCUUUAUAAUCCUUAGUGUCACAUUUUGCUUCUGCAGGUCUUAUGAUAUGUCCUAGAAUUUAUAUUUAACCUAGGCCAUUGGUAAAUCUAAAAGGUCAUGCUUUGCCCUCUUCAAGCGUGGCUUUUUAUCAUAAGUCAAAAUAACUACCUGAUAGAAAUGCAUUUUUUUCUUUUUUUAAAUUUUAUUUUAUUGAGACAGAGUCUUACUCUGUCACUCAGGCUGGAGUGCAGUGGCUUGAUCUCAGCUCACUGCAACCUCCGCCUCCUGGGCUCAAGCAAUUCUCAUGCCUCAGCCUCCUGAGUAGCUGGGAUUAUAGGCGCAUGCCACUCUGCCUGGCUAAUUUUUUGCAUUUUUAAUAGAGACGGGGUUUUGCCAUGUUUACCAGGCUGGUCUCGAACUCCUGACAUCAGAUUAUCUGCCUGCCUCGGUCUCCCAAAGUGCUGGGAUUACAGGCGUGAGCCACAACGCCCGGCCAAGAAAUGCUGUUUGAAAGAAAAAGUCUAGUUAAACUCUGAGCUUCAGGCUGCUUGUCUAUAAAGAAGUUACAAAAUAAUAACAGUGAUAAUUCAUACAUGAAUAAAAGUGAUAGAUUACAUAUGACUUAUAAUGAGGAAGACAUAGUAAGUUCUGAAAAAACAGACAAAAUAAUUAAAGCAUAAAAUCAUGGAACUAAAACAAUAUAUAGAUAUUAAUGAAAAUUGGGAUAUGUAGCUAGCAUCAAAACAUAGCAAAUUACUAACUAAAGCUGUUACCAUACAUGCAACAUUAGGAAACUGAAUAGUAUCUACUCUUUCCUAGUGAAUACUAUUAACGAAGAAACAGCCCAGAAUAGAGUGAAUUUCUAACCAACAUAUAUAGACAGAGAAACUGUAUCAGCAAAAAGUGUGUAACAAGCAGAAAACUGCAGUAAAUGUGAAUGUAAAAUAGCCAUAAUAUAUGUGGUUACAUAUUUCAAUAAAAACUGGUACAAAAUAGAAUGCGAAAAAUAACUGUAAAUGAAUUCCAUUAUUAUGCUCAUUCAUAUUUCUAUGAAUAUUACACAGCAAAUGACAGGUAUUAAUCCUAGUAUAAUAUUUAAAUUAUUAUAGCCACAUAACAAGCAGAAAAGAACCCUUAAAAAGUAUCAUGAGAGCUUUAAUAUUUAUCCUCAAAACCUAGAUUAUAAUCGUCUCCAACAUCCAGGAAAGUGACAUCCCCAUAGCUUAAGAAAAAACGCAAGAAUCCAAUUGAAAAAUGUUUUGAAUGUAGGAAAAUUCAAAGGACUCCAGAAAAUUUGGCUUAGAUAGAUAUGGAAUUAGAGAUAUGUGGCUGAUAUGUGGCUUGACUUUUUAUUCUUAGGUCUAAAAGCAGCCCAUUGUAAAUCAGUAUGUACUCUGUUUUUGGAAGAAAGUAUUAAGAUAAAAAAGCAGCUUUUACUUGAAAUCUACUUUUCACACAAAGGUAUUGUUCUUCUGAUGCAAAUAACGAUAUUCUUUUUUCAGAAAACUUAAUUUUAUUGUUAAUAGGAGAAACAUCCAUAUAAUUUCAAAAUUAGAAACAGGACACUGCAAACUACAUGUCCUGCAGCUCUCUAGGUAACCACUUAUUAGUUUCUUGUUUGUAGGAAGCAUCAUUUCUUUUCUUUUCUUUUGAGAUGGAGUCUUGCUCUGUCAUACAGACUGGAGUGCAGUGGCAAGAUCUCGGCUCACUGCAACCUCUGCCUCCCAGAUUCCAGAGAUUCUCCUCCCUAAGCCUCCUGAGUAGCUGGGAUUACAGGCGCCUGUCACCACACCCAGCUAAUUUUUGUAUUUUUAGUAGAGAUGGGGUUUCACCAUGUUGGCCAGUCUGAUCUCGAACUCCUGACCUCAGGUGAUCCACCCACCUCAGCCUCCCAAAGUGCUGGGAUUAUAGGUGUGAGCCACCGAGCUCGGCCUGGAGGCAUCAUUUCUAAAACAUAUAUAUAUAUUAAUAUACAUGUAUAUUUUAUAUAUAAAUAUACAUGUAUAUUUAUAUAUAUAUAUAUAUUCUUUUUGAGACAGAGUUUUGCUCUUGUUGCCCAUGCUGGAGUGCAAUGGCAUGAUCUAGGCUCACUGCAACCUACAUCUCCCAGGUUCAAAUGGUUCUCCUGCCUCAGCCUCCCAAGUAGCUGGGAUUACAGGCAGGUGCCAACAUGCCCGGCUAAUUUUGUAUUUUUAGUAGAGACAGGGUUUCUCCAUGUUGGUCAGGCUGGUCUCGAAAUGACCUCAGGUGAUCAGCUCACCUCGGCCUCCCAAAGUGCUGGGAUUACAGGUGUGAGUCAUCUUGCCUGGCCUCUAAAGCAUAUUUCUAAAAUGUUUAUGUUAAAAACUGUCAAGUGUCAUCUAUGUUGAAAAAGGCAACAGAAAAAAGUAACUGCAUGUGACUUCUGAUAAGCUGCUUUUCCUAGGGAUACUGUAUUCUAGCCUGUUUCCUUCCUAGUCCAUCGAUCUAAGCAUUUGCUAAAACCAACUUCAUUUGCCCUACUCUGCAUAGAUUUCACUCUGUUGUCCUUAUGCUUCUUUUUUUCCUUAUGCUUCUUUUUUUUUCAAAUUUAAAAUAUAUUUUUUUCUUUUAAAAUCAUUUUGUCAUUCUCCAGGGCAUAUCCCAAGGGAAGAGGAGGGGAUCCUGUUUUCUGCUUUAAUUAAACUACCAAAUUCCUUACUCUAGAAUACCUGCCUCCUUAUGACCCAGUACUCUCCAUUUUCUCUUUCCACCUAGUUUAGAUAGGAAUGUCCAAAACGUGAAUAUUACUUUCCUUUGUUUGUUUGUUUGUGACAGGGUUUCACUUUGUCACUCAGGCUGAAGUCCACUGGUGUGAACACAACUCACUGCAGCCUCAACCUCCUGGGCUCAAGCAGUCCUCUGAUCCUCCCACCUCAGCCUCCUGAGUAGCAGACAUACCCCCAACCCUGGCUGAGUUUUAAAAAGUUUUUGUAGAGAUGGGGUCUUGCCAUGUCGCCCAGACUGCCCGGGAAAUCCUAGGCCCAAAGCGAUCCUCCCACCUCAGGUUCCCAAAGCAUUGAGACCGCAGGCAUGGGAUACCACGCCCAACUGAAUAUUAAAAACAUCACUACACAUCAGUAAACGUCACUAAAUUUAAAAUAGUAAAGUUGAAAUAUUAGUGAGGGAGAUGGCCUCCCAAAGUGCUGAGAUUACAGGUGUGAGCCACUGUGCCUGGCUGAAUAUUAUUUAAAACAUCACUAAACAUCACUAAAUUUAAAAUGGGAAAGUUGAAAUAUUAGUGGAGGGAGACCAUUCCACAUGAAACAUCUCAGAAUAUAUUGCUAGUUUUCUAGGCCACUUCGGUUUUUUCUCUGUUUCGGUUGAAAUGAACACUCUCAGAAAGUCUCUGAUUUCAUUUUCUGUACGUCUACCCUUUAAGACUCAGUAUUAGAAAAGAAAAGGGCCAGGGGGAAUAACCAAUCUCUUAUCCUAAUGUAACAGAUGAGGAAACAGAAUUUGUGAGAGAAGAAAAGUUAUCUAAAGUCACACAGCCAGUAAAUGUCAAAGCCAAAACUGAAACGAGGUCUGCAGAUUUCUACUUCAAUAGUUUCCCUGUUAUUCCAAGCUGUUUGGGACUAUAGGGGGAAAGAAAUCUAAAUUUAGGGGCAAAGAAAUCUCAUGAAAACCGUUUUAAAAAGUUUCUUUCUUUACCUGACAUGGUCAGAGAAGAAGAAACAACUGCAGAUACAAGGGAAGAAGAGACGAUACUAGCGGAUGUCUGGGUGGCUGACGCCAACGAGUGCAUGUGUCCAGUAUGAAGGCCACUGGUAACUGAUUACUGGUCACUGGCCACUUGCGAUGAUACAAACUUACAGGCCACACCCAGGAAGCCCCAAGAUUCUACCAGGUGGCGGUAGGUUAGGUGGGAGAAUGAUGUCACAAAGCAGGCAGUUUAAAGGUCUGCGAUAGCCAAUAGGGAGGUCCGAUUCUCAACAAGACAGGAUUGGCUGGCAGAGGUGGUCGGUUUAAAGUUCUGCGAUAGCCAAUAGGGAAGUCAGAUUCCCAAUGAGACAGGAUUGGCUGGCAGAGGUGGUAGGAAAGCUGUAACAGCACCUCUGGGGAGGUGAAAUCUACCAGACAGACAUGAUAGUCCCACUUUCCCCCAGGCUCUCAUGUUAGGGAGAUCAUCUCAAUGUUUCUCAUAAAUGUUCACUAAUAUAAUUAACUAACAUUUAUAUUUUAUACGUUAUGUUUCAUAUUAUAUAAUAGUAUGCAUUUAUGAUUAUACAGUACAUACAUGAUAUCCUUGGGGAGAAAGGAAAGGGACGUCUAAGUUGAGCAAUUAUAGUUGUUCUGAAACCAUUUCAGUGAAUCUGAUUAAUGAAUUUGCUGCUGCUUUUUAAUUUAAUUUAAUGUUUUUUGAGAUGGAAUCUUGCUCUGUCACCCAGCCUGGAGGGCAGUGGCGUGAUCUUGGCUCACUGCAAGCUCCACCUCCCAGGUUCACGCCAUUCUCCCGCCUCAGCCUCCUGAGUAGCUGGGACUACAGUUGCCCGCUACUUCAGCCAGCUAAGUUUUUGUAUUUUUAGUAGAGACGGUUUCACCCUUUUAGCCAGGAUGAUCUCGAUCACCUGACCUCGUGAUCCGCCCGCCUCAGCCUCCCAAAGUGCUGGGAUUACAGGGGUGAGCCACCGCGCCUGGCCCUACUGCCGCUUUCAAGGGCCAAAGGAAGGGAUUAAAGAACCCUCUUUUGUAACUUGGUUGAACAGCAAAGUUCGUUGACUGCCCCUUAUAGGAGAUGAUGUGGUCCAAGGCUCUUCUCUUUUAGUUUCCUCUCCUCGAAUCCUACCUUCUUGGGCUGGGCCAGGUUGGACUUGGAUCUCUCUUCUGCUCUCCUUUUUUUACCCCUUGAUUUUAGGCAUUGUUUCUGGACCAAGCCUUGAUCUUGCAUUUUUACAUUCAUGGAUAUUCCUUCUUGUCAACUUUCAGAGCAGGAGUCUUCUUUCAGUGUCCCGAUGUUUGGAAAACAGACUCUGCUCAUGAGAAGCAAACCUCAGAGAGGUAGAAGACAAGGCUGCCUGCAGACCUUCCCUCUUCUAGCCUUCGGUCACAAUUCUUUUGCCCAAAGUUUGCUACCUCUGGCUCCUUGGGCCACACAGACACCCUGCCAUCCUACUCUUUUAUACGUGAGAGGCAUUCAGGAUACCUUCUUUCUUCUCACAUAAGAGGAUCCAGUGUGGCAGUUACUGAUAGCCUCCUCUCCCUUGCAAACAGCCACUAUAGAAUCUUGGGCCUUUAGGAUUUCCUGUCAGCCAUGCUUGGGUGCAAGGGCCAGGGAAAAUGAAGAGUUAAAGCAUUUAGUGGAGAAUAGGAAACCGGCAAGGUGAGGGUAUAGGAAAAAAGAGAUUUGUGUGGAUUUUUUGGUUUCUGUAACAAACAAUUGGACAUACCUAUUUUGUAUUAACAGAAUAGACAAUUAAAUUUUUUUCUUUCUUUCUUUUUUUUUUUUUUUUUUUGAGAGAGAGUCUCUCUCUGUCGCCCAGGCUGCAGGGCAGUGGCCGAUCUCUGCUCACUUCAAGCUUCGCUUCCCAGGUUCACGCCAUUCUCCUGCCUCAGCCUCCCGAGUACCUGGGAUUACAGAUGGAGUCUCGCUCUGUCGCUGAGGCUGAAGGGCAGUGGCACGAUCUCGGCUCACUGCAUCAUGCGCCUCCCCGGUUCAAGCAAUUCUCAUGCCUGAGCCUCCCAAGUAGAUUCUCACUUUGUCACCCAGGCUGAAGUCCAGUGGUAUGAACAUGACUCACUGCAGCCUCAACCUCCUGGGCUCAAGCAGUCCUCUGAUCCUCCCACCUCAGCCUCCUGAGUAGCUGGCAUACCCCCAACCCUGACUGAGUUUUAAAAAGUUUUUGUAGAGAUGGGGUCUUGCCAUGUUGCCCAGACUGCCCGGGAAAUCCUAGGCCCAAAGCGAUCCUCCCACCUCAGGUUCCCAAAGCAUUGAGACCGCAGGCAUGGGAUACCACGCCCAACUGAAUAUUAAAAACAUCACUACACAUCAGUAAACAUCACUAAACCUAAAAUAGUAAAGUUGAAAUAUUAGGGAGAUGGCCUCCCAAAGUGCUGAGAUUACAGGUGUGAGCCACUGUGCCUGGCUGAAUAUUAUUUAAAACAUCACUAAACAUCACUAAAUUUAAAAUAGGAAAGUUGAAAUAUUAGUGGAGGGAGACCAUUCCACAUGAAACAUCUCAGAAUAUAUUGCUAGUUUUCUAGGCCACUUCGGUUUUUUCUCUGUUUCGGUUGAAAUGAGCACUCUCAGAAAGUCUCUGAUUUCAUUUUCUAUACGUCUACCCUUUAAGACUCAGUAUUAGAAAAGAAAAGGGCCAGGGGGAAUAACCAAUCUAUUAUCCUAAUGUAACAGAUGAGGAAACAGAAUUUGUGAGAGAAGAAAUUUAUCUAAAGUCACACAGCCAGUAAAUGUCAAAGCCAAAACUGAAACGAGGUCUGCAGAUUUGUACUUCAAUAGUUUCCCUGUUAUUCCAAGCUGUUUGGGACUAUAGGGGGAAAGAAAUCUAAAUUUAGGGGCAAAGAAAUCUCAUGAAAACCGUUUUAAAAAGUUUCUUUCUUUACCUGACAUGGUCAGAGAAGAAGAAACAUCAACUGCAGAUACAAGGGAAGAAGAGACGAUACUAGCGGAUGUCUGGGUGGCUGACGCCAACGAGUGCAUGUGUCCAGUAUGAAGGCCACUGGCAACUGAUUACUGGUCACUGGCCACUUGCGAUGAUAUAAAUUUACAGGCCACACCCAGGAUGCCCCAAGAUGCUACCAGGUGGCGGUAGGUUAGGUGGGAGAAUGAUGUCACAAAGCAGGCAGUUUAAAGGUCUGUGAUAGCCAAUAGGGAGGUCAGAUUCCCAACAAGACAGGAUUGGCUGGCAGAGGUGGUAGGAAAGCUGUAACAGCACUAUGUGGCUGAGCUCUGGGGAGGUGAAAUCUACCAGACAGACAUGAUAGUCCCACUUUCCCCCAGGCUUUCAUGUUAGGGAGAUCAUCUCAAUGUUUCUCAUAAAUGUUCACUAAUAUAAUUAACUAACAUUUAUAUUUUAUACGUUAUGUUUCAUAUAAUAUUAUGCAUUUAUGAUUAUACAGUACAUACACGAUAUCCUUGGGGAGAAAGGAAAGGGACGUCUAAGUUGAGCAAUUACAGUUGUUCUGAAACCAUUUCAGUGAAUCUGAUUAAUGAAUUUGCUGCUACUUUUUAAUUUAAUUUUAUUUUUUUUGAGAUGGAAUCUCGCUCUGUCACCCAGGCUGGAGGGCAGUGGCGUGAUCUCGGCUCACUGCAAGCUCCACCUCCCAGGUUCUCGCCGUUCUCCCGCCUCAGCCUCCUGAGUAGCUGGGACUACAGGUGCCCGCUACUUCAGCCAACUAAGUUUUUGUAUUUUUAGUAGAGACAGGGUUUCACCCUUUUAGCCAGGAUGGUCUCGAUCACCUGACCUCAUGAUCCGCCCGCCUCAGCCUCCCAAAGUGCUGGGAUGACAGGGGUGAGCCACGGCGCCCUGCCCUACUGCCGCUUUCAAGGGCCAAAGGAAGGGAUUAAAGAACCCUCUUUUGUAACUUGAUUGAACAGCAAAGUUCGUUGACUGCCCCUUAUAGGAGAUGAUGUGGUCCAAGGCUCUUCUCUUUUAGUUUCCUCUCCUCGAAUCCUACCUUCUUGGGCUGCGCCAGGUUGGACUUGGAUCUCUCUUCUGCUCCCCUUUUUUUACCCCUUGAUUUUAGGCAUUGUUUCUGGACCAAGCCUUGAUCUUGCAUUUUUACAUUCGUGGAUAUUCCUUCUUGUCAACUUUCAGAGCAGGAGUCUUCUUUCAGUGUCCCGAUGUUUGGAAAACGGACUCUGCUCAUGAGAGGCAAACACCAGAGAGGUAGAAGACAAGGCUGCCUGCAGACCUUCCCUAUUCUAGCCUUUGGUCACAAUUCUUUUGCUCGCAGUUUGCUACCUCUGGCUCCUUGGGCCACACAGACACCCUGCCAUCCUGCUCUUUUAUACGUGAGAGGCAUUCAGGAUACCUUCUUUCUUCUCACAUAAGAGGAUCCAGUGUGGCAGUUACUGAUAGCCUCCUCUCCCUUGCAAACAGCCACUAUAGAAUCUUGGGCCUUUAGGAUUUCCUGUCAGCCAUGCUUGGGUGCAAGGGCCAGGGAAAAUGAAGAGUUAAAGCAUUUAGUGGAGAAUAGGAAACAGGCAAGGUGAGGGUACAGGAAAAAAGAGAUUUGUGUGGAUUUUUUGGUUUCUGUGACAAACAAUUCGACACACUUAUUUUGUAUUAAUAGAAUAGAAAAUUUAUGUUUUUUAUGUAGCUCGUCCAGAACUUCCAUUACUUCUGUACACUGAAGAAAAUAAUUAUAAUAUUCUUUUUCCGUUUUGUUUUAUGUCAUAUUACCUCAUUUAUGUUAUCCAUUAGUAUGUCUGGUUACUUUCUAUAAACCCUAUUCUGCCUAGGUCUGGAUUUUCUUGUGUCAACCCUAACUGAAUUUGUUCUCACCCCAGUGUUGUGUCUUUUAGCGAAUGAAAGUGUAAGCCCAAUACAGCUUUUCUAGCUUCUGAAAGAUUUAUGUCACAUUUUGUAUCUUGUCUUGUCUGUAGACAUUUGUAUCAUUUGUAGUUUUGGCUACUAUACACCUAUUGGAAUUUUUCAUAAAUUCGAAAAGAACAUUGUAUUAUUUAUUUAUUUAUUUAUUUUGUGAUACAGAGUCUCGCUCUGUUGCCCAGGCUGGAGUGCAGUGGCACAAUCUUGGCUCAUUGCAACCUCUGCCUCCCACAUUCAAGCCAUUCUCUUGCCUCAGCCUCUCAAGUACCCUGGACUGCAGGUAUGAGCCACCAUGCCCAGCUAAUUGUUGUAUAUUUAGUAGAGAUAGGACUUUACCAUGUUGGCCAGGUUGAUCUCAAACUCCUGACCUCAAGUGAUCUGCCCGCCUCGGCCACCGAAAGUGCUGGAAUUACAGGCAUGAGCCACCAUGCCCGGCCACAAUAUUUUACAAUUUAAUGUCAAAUUUGAAUGUGGGCUGGGCACGGGGGCUCAUGCCUGUCAUCCCAGCACUUUGGGAGGCCGAAGAGGGCAGAUGACUUGCAGUCAGGAGUUCAAGACCAGCCUGGCCAACUUGGUGAAACCCUGUCUCUACUAAAAAUACAAAAAUUAGCCGGGCAUGGUGGCACAUGCCUGUAGUCCCAGCUACUCAAGAGGCUGAGGCAGGAGAAUUGCUUGAAACCAGGAGGCAGAGGUUGCAGUGAGCGGAUAUCGCGCACUGCGCUCCAGCCUGGGUGACAGAGAGAGACUCCAUCUCAACAACAACAACAAAUGAUUAAAUGUUCCUAAUUGUAGGUUUGUUAUGUUCUGCUAACCUGUCUUUUUGUCUUUCCAAUGAACAAUUUAUGAAUAUUGACACAUUUUAAAUGAUGUGGAAAUUUUCAGAAUUGUAAAUGUUUAUGUAUUUAAGACUGGUUGGAAAAGUACUGUCUCAAAAAUGUUAAUAAAGCUAGCAGUCUAGCUUUAUUAAUAUUCAUUUAUUCAAUAGCUCUGAUCUUUCUCAUCCUUGGUUUACCCAGCUCUAAAAUGGUUGCAAAGAUUACUAAAAAUAUAGGUAAGUUACUUUCAUAAAUUAGACACUAAAAAGUAAAAAUUACUUUCAAAAAUCUGCCAUUGGCCAGGUGCGGUGGCUCCAGCCUGUAAUCCCAGCACUUUUGGAGGUCGAGGAGUGCUGAUCAUGAGGUCAAGAGAUUGAGACGAUCCUGGCAAACAUGGAGAAACCCUGUCUCUACUAAAAUACAAAAAAUUGGCUUGGAGUGGUGGCACGCACCUGUAGUCCCAGCUACUCGGGAGGCUGAGGCAGGGAGAAUUGCUUGAACCCGGGAGGUGGAGGUUGCAGUGAGCUGAGAUGGGACCACUGUACUCCAGCCUGGUGGUGGAGUGAAACCGGGUCUCAAAAAAAAACGUCUGCAAUCAUAAUUACUUACCGUUUAAUCUGGAAUUUAGUACUCUAUUCUAUUUUCAAAGCUACUAUAGGGUAUGUUGUCCUUUGUAGUUCCACUUUUAGCAGAAUUCAAUGUUUUUCUAACGGGUAUAGAUCUUUAUGCUUGAGACUGUGUGGAAACCUUGGACUUGAGCUCCACUCUCAGUUAUUUUUUGUAUUUGCUAAAACUUAAAUACAUUCUGUCCACCUGUAACAUGAUACCUGGUAUGUGAUAGGAACCCAAUAAAAGUUUGGCUGUGAUGGGAA